rnacentral:sRNA from 1 species
UGAUACCAGGGUCAAAAGGUCAUGCGUUUCAUACUUGCAUGAAAAAGCAUGACUUUGGGACCCGCACAUCAUAUAUCUAUUUUCAUCAAUUUUUUUAAGGAGGAGUCUGAGAUGUCUAAUUAUCGUAUAUUUGCCGGUUUUA